AUCAAUAAGCGGAGGAAAAGCAACUAACCAGGAUUCCCCCAGUAACGGCGAGCGAAGCGGGAAUAGCUCGAGCAGGCAAUCUCUGGUGUCUAAUCGCCAGCGAAUUGUGGCCGGCAGAGGCGGAUGCACCCGACGCGACUCCGUCGAAGUUGACCUGGAAAGGCACGUCGGAGAGGGUGAUAGCCCCGUGCGUGGCGGAGUCGCGGAGGGCCGCUACCGUCUUCGGAGAGUCGGGUUGUUUGGGAGUGCAGCCCAAAGUGGGUGGUAAACUCCAUCUAAAGCCAAAUAACGGCACGAGACCGAUAGCGAACAAGUACCAUGAGGGAAAGGUGAAAAGCACUUUGGAAAGAGAGUUAAAGAGGCCGCGAAA
rnacentral:rRNA from 1 species